rnacentral:rRNA from 1 species
GCAAGUCGAACGGUGAAGCCAAGCUUGCUUGGUGGAUCAGUGGCGAACGGGUGAGUAACACGUGAGCAACCUGCCCUGGACUCUGGGAUAAGCGCUGGAAACGGCGUCUAAUACUGGAUAUGAGACGUGAUCGCAUGGUCGUGUUUGGAAAGAUUUUUCGGUCUGGGAUGGGCUCGCGGCCUAUCAGCUUGUUGGUGAGGUAAUGGCUCACCAAGGCGUCGACGGGUAGCCGGCCUGAGAGGGUGACCGGCCACACUGGGACUGAGACACGGCCCAGACUCCUACGGGAGGCAGCAGUGGGGAAUAUUGCACAAUGGGCGAAAGCCUGAUGCAGCAACGCCGCGUGAGGGAUGACGGCCUUCGGGUUGUAAACCUCUUUUAGCAGGGAAGAAGCGAAAGUGACGGUACCUGCAGAAAAAGCGCCGGCUAACUACGUGCCAGCAGCCGCGGUAAUACGUAGGGCGCAAGCGUUAUCCGGAAUUAUUGGGCGUAAAGAGCUCGUAGGCGGUUUGUCGCGUCUGCUGUGAAAUCCCGAGGCUCAACCUCGGGCCUGCAGUGGGUACGGGCAGACUAGAGUGCGGUAGGGGAGAUUGGAAUUCCUGGUGUAGCGGUGGAAUGCGCAGAUAUCAGGAGGAACACCGAUGGCGAAGGCAGAUCUCUGGGCCGUAACUGACGCUGAGGAGCGAAAGGGUGGGGAGCAAACAGGCUUAGAUACCCUGGUAGUCCACCCCGUAAACGUUGGGAACUAGUUGUGGGGACCAUUCCACGGUUUCCGUGACGCAGCUAACGCAUUAAGUUCCCCGCCUGGGGAGUACGGCC